GCAGGAGGAACAAAUAAGACUUGAACAAGAGGAAUUACGGAAGAAACGGGAACAUUUAAGGAGAGAAAAGGAACAUUUAAGGAGAGAAAAGGAACAACUUGCUCUGGAGGCAGAAUUAAAGGCAAGGUACGCAAUCACUUGGUUCGCAAGAUGUUUGUGACGAUAAUCAACCCACCAAUUCUCCGGACAUUUUGAAUAUCAUGCAGCGUCAAAAUGAAAUAACUGCGCUGUUGGUCCAACAAAACACAGCCUCUGCUCUGCCUAUGAGAAAUAUACCUG
ensembl:lncRNA